rnacentral:rRNA from 1 species
UUUCGAUAUUUUUUAAAUAAUGGAAGAUAUAUAUCUAUCUAAUUUAAUAAAAGACAUAAAUGCUGAUAAUUUAUUUUUUAAUACACAAAAUAUUAGCACAAUAAAAUUUGAUGAAAGCAAAAAAAACUACGACGAUCAAAAAAAAAAUAGAUGCUUAGAACUCCAGAGAGAUUUAUCUACUAAAUAUUUAUCUAAAAAGAACUUUUGUUUUUCUGGAGUAGGAAUAGAUCUAGGAACAACCAAUUCUGCCAUUGCUACAAUGGUUGCUGGACAACCUAGUAUCUUGCCUAACUCCUCGGGCGCCCGACUAACUCCUUCUGUAAUAGGUAUUGACAAACAAAAUAACUUUGUUGUAGGAGAUAUUGCCAAAAGACAAGCUGUUGUUAAUCCUCAAAAUACAUAUUAUUCUGUUAAA